UACGUAGGAUGCAAGCGUUGUCCGGAAUUACUGGGCGUAAAGAGUGUGUAGGCGGUGCUCCAAGUCUGUUGUGAAAUCUCCCGGCUUAACUGGGAGGGUGCGGCGGAAACUAGAGUGCUAGAGGGUGGGAGAGGUAAGCGGAAUUCCUGGUGUAGCGGUGAAAUGCGUAGAUAUCAGGAGGAACACCUGUGGUGUAGACAGCUUACUGGACCACUUCUGACGCUGAGACACGAAAGCGUGGGUAGCAAACAGG
rnacentral:rRNA from 1 species